GAUGAACGCUGGCGGCGUGCUUAACACAUGCAAGUCGAACGAAGCACUCUAUUUGAUUUUCUUCGGAAUUGAAGAUUUUGUGACUGAGUGGCGGACGGGUGAGUAACGCGUGGGUAACCUGCCUCAUACAGGGGGAUAACAGUUGGAAACGACUGCUAAUACCGCAUAAGCGCACGGUAUUGCAUGAUACAGUGUGAAAAACUCCGGUGGUAUGAGAUGGACCCGCGUCGGAUUAGCUAGUUGGUGGGGUAACGGCCUACCAAGGCGACGAUCAGUAGCCGACCUGAGAGGGGGACCGGCCACAUUGGGACUGAGACACGGCCCAAACUCCUACGGGAGGCAGCAGUGGGGAAUAUUGCACAAUGGGGGAAACCCUGAUGCAGCGACGCCGCGUGAACGAAGAAGUAUUUCGGUAUGUAAAGUUCUAUCAGCAGGGAAGAUAAUGACGGUACCUGACUAAGAAGCACCGGCUAAAUACGUGCCAGCCGCCGCCGUAA
rnacentral:rRNA from 1 species